AACGAACGCUGGCGGCAUGCCUAACACAUGCAAGUCGAACGAUCCCGUCGGGGUUAGUGGCGCACGGGUGCGUAACGCGUGGGAACCUGCCCUUAGGUUCGGAAUAACUCAGAGUAAUUUGAGCUAAUACCGGAGAAUGUCUUCGGACCUAAGAUUUAUCGCCUUUGGCUGGGCCCGUGUUGGCUUAGGUAGUUGGUAGGGUAAAGGCCUACCAAGGCGACGAUCCAUAGCUGGUCUGAGAGGAGGAUAAGCCACGCUGGGACUGAGACACGGCCCAGACGGCUACGCAACGCAGCAGUGUAGAAUAUUGUACGAUGGGCCAUAGCCUGAUACCGCAGUGCCCCGUGAGUGAGGAAGCCCUUAGGAUUGUAAAGCUCUUUUUCCCGAGACGAUAAUGACGGUACUGGGUGAAUAAGCCCCGGCUAACUCCGUG
rnacentral:rRNA from 1 species